rnacentral:rRNA from 1 species
UACGUAGGGUGCAAGCGUUAAUCGGAAUUACUGGGCGUAAAGGGCUCGUAGGCGGCCAACUAAGUCAGACGUGAAAUCCCCAGGCUUAACCUGGGAACUGCGUCUGAUACUGGAUGGCUUGAGAUUGGGAGAGGGAUGCGGAAUUCCAGGUGUAGCGGUGAAAUGCGUAGAUAUCUGGAGGAACACCGGUGGCGAAGGCGACAUCCUGGACCAACACUGACGCUGAGGAGCGAAAGCCAGGGGAGCAAACGGG